CAGAAAGGCCGGGCGCGUCCGGGUUAGCCGUGGUGUGUGGUGCAUAUGCACUCACAGCGCAGUCAAUGCGUGGCCGCGCAUCCCAUACCGUCUAUUCCUGGGUCUUGCUUCCUUCUGUAUGGUCAUGUAUGAUAAUUUCGUGUGGGUAUUACAAAACGUAAUUUAAUAUUGAGGAGCCAAGACAGGAGGGGAUGUCUUCAGAAUUUGGAAAUGUGCAUGAUUAUACAGACUUCAGUAGCAUCCUUGUGGGAUAUUUUUCAGAAGGAACUUAUUUCACUCAAUGCAAAAGGAUGGAGAGAGUUCCAGCUGAGGAGGUUCUGCUUUGACCAGCUGGUUUUCAUCCAUGAGCUGAUCUGAACCUUCUGUGCUGUCUUGAUGAUGUAGGCAGGUUGUGCCAAGAGAUGCACAGAGCUGUGUGCCAUUUGUAAGCUGCUUGGCUUUGAGUCCAUGUCAUCUGGCAUUUUCCCUAAUGGCAAAGAAAACUAACAUUGUAAGUGAAGAGUCUGUUGCAAAGAUGAAGCCGAUUCCUUCCCUGAGUGAAGUUACCAGAACUCCAGUUCUAAUAUGGCAUCUUUAAGAAGUGAAGAAGGAUGUUUGUGAGAUUCACAGACAGGAGUAUGGCCUGGAGUGUGCUUCCUGAAUUACCUAAUACUCUGUCGACAAUGCUAAAGAAGCAGUUUUAGCACGUUUGUUGUGAAGAAAUUUCAAGGUUCUUUCAUAUCUAUUCAUUAGUCUAAGAAAUUACAUUGUCUCCUUUUUUUAAGUGAAUAGUUUAAGAUACAAUCCUGUCUUUAUUUGUCCUUCCAUUUAAUUUUAACUGAAACAACAUUCAAAAGGAGGUUAUUUUUUUUAAGGUCAGAGGUUGUUUUCAUGUUAUCUUUUAGAUAAUAUAUCUUUCCUACUGUCAGGAAACUUUGAGGCCCAAAAAAGUGAUGAUACUGCCAAUAGUGUCCUGGUAAUGAUAUAUGUAUUUAAAGCAGAAUUUAUUUGACUCAACAUUGGUGAUUACUAUGUAGGUGUCCACAACACGGCAAGUUACCCAUGAUCAUUUUAUAGUCUUUGGAGGGCUUGUUACUAUGUCAGUGGAGCCUAGGAUGCAAUUCAGACCUUCGAAAACAGAGAGGUGAACUGCAGCUAAACCCCACUGAGUACAGAGGGAGAUGAAUCAGCUACCUUAGAAACACCUAAAUUUAGAUGGGAUAAGUAGCACUUCUAAUCUGAAGAUGAGAUUUAGGUUGAGUUGAACCAAAGAUGACUGUAAGGAAAGCAAGUUUCAUUUAGUUUAGGUCUUUUUCCUGUAUGAUACUGAAACAUGAAUUUUCAAAUCCCCCUGAAGGUCAAAUCAAGAUUGGUUCGCAAUUUUUUUUUUUGUGAUUGUUUCACAAAAAUUUUCAACAAGGUUUCAGUGUGUGGCUUUACAAACCUUUUAUUCCUUAAAUAAUAAUUAUUUGUAAUAAAGUUUAAAAUUAUCUGUAAAGGAAUGUAAAAUCCACAUAAACUCUGUCUCUAGUUUCUACCAGCAAGCAAGAUCCCAUUUGAAGUAUUCUUCUUGGGUACCGUAUUUGAGGUGAAUGUCAGUGUAGUGGCACUUGCCUUCAUAGAGCUUAUGGCCAGAAAAAACUAUCACUCUUCUGCUUCAGUCUCCUAUGUUAUAACGUACAUAGAAUUUAGUCUUCUGCAUUGAGUCUAGUAACCUAUAUUUGACUUAAAUAUUUGUCAGUAAUGCAACUAAAAUAAACACAUCACCUUUCAGUCUUCUCUUCAGUAAAUUAAAUAAACAACAUUUUAAAA